rnacentral:piRNA from 1 species
UGUUGAUUAGUUCUACCAUAGAGUCUGCA